ACGGAGGGUGCGAGCGUUGUCCGGAAUCACUGGGCGUAAAGGGCGCGUAGGCGGCGCGACAAGGCGGCGGUGAAAGUCCGGGGCUCAACCCCGGAUCGGCCGUGGCGACUGUCGCGCUCGAGCACAGUAGAGGCGGGUGGAAUUCCGGGUGUAGCGGUGGAAUGCGUAGAGAUCCGGAAGAACACCAGUGGCGAAGGCGACUCACUGGACAUGUAUUGACGCUGAGGUGCGAAAGCGUGGGGAGCAAACAGGA
rnacentral:rRNA from 1 species